UAGGGAAUCUUCGGCAAUGGACGAAAGUCUGACCGAGCAACGCCGCGUGAGUGAAGAAGGAUUUCGGAUCGUAAAACUCUGUUGUUAGAGAAGAACAAGGACGUUAGUAACUGAACGUCCCCUGACGGUAUCUAACCAGAAAGCCACGGCUAACUACGUGCCAGCAGCCGCGGUAAUACGUAGGUGGCAAGCGUUGUCCGGAUUUAUUGGGCGUAAAGCGAGCGCAGGCGGUUUCUUAAGUCUGAUGUGAAAGCCCCGGCUCAACCGGGGAGGGUCAUUAGAAACUGGGAGACGUGAGUGCAGAAGAGGAGAGUGGAAUUCCAUGUGUAGCGGUGAAAUGCGUAGAUAUAUGGAGGAACACCAGUGGCGAAGGCGGCUCUCUGGUCUGUAACUGACGCUGAGGCUCGAAAGCGUGGGGAGCAAACAGG
rnacentral:rRNA from 1 species